rnacentral:misc_RNA from 1 species
AGCGGAUGGAGUUCCUGAAACAAAUUCGAGGCACGUAUGAUUUCACUUUCUAAUCUUUGUUUUCUUGCUGAUGUGUUGUAAUUGUAGCUUCAGAACCUCUUUAAAACCCAUUAAAAAAUGACUCCCCGGAUCUGCAGAACUCUCAUGUUACUCUCUCGAAAUGCCUCUCAGUGUCUCCAUAAACCUCCAUCCCUGCAUUCAAUAUCCCUCCUUUUCUUUUCCACUUCUAGGUCCACAGUAUCUAAACCCCAAAUCACAAUCUUCGAUUACUUCGGCAAUCAACAACAGUUCUCCCCUGAAUCCACUGCAAUUUUCUCAUCAUCAACUACUGAGUACCUCAGAAACUCCAAAAUGCAGAUUCAGUGCUAAAUUUCCUCAUGGAAAGCGGUUUCUCUAAAACCCAGAUAGAAAAUGUUGUCCAAAGAGUGCCCACUCUCUGCUGGUCUUGAGAAAAUUAUCAAGCCGAAAAUCAAUAUUUUUCAGGACUUGGGUUUUAAUACCAUCGACUUUGCUGAUAUAGUAUCUGGUGAUCCUUGGAUUUUGUAUAGAAGUGCUGAUAAUAGUCUUGGACCAUCAAUUUUAGUGUUAAAGAAUGUGUUGAGAUCUAAUGCUACAUUGUUGAAGAGGUGCGGUAUGGUUUCUGAAACACGAUUCGGAAAGGACUAGGAUCCCUAACAUAGAAUACAUAA